UCAGUGAAAUGAAGGCAUACA
rnacentral:piRNA from 1 species